rnacentral:rRNA from 1 species
UACGUAGGGUGCGAGCGUUGUCCGGAAUUAUUGGGCGUAAAGAGCUUGUAGGCGGUUUGUCGCGUCUGCUGUGAAAAUCCGGGGCUCAACCCCGGACUUGCAGUGGGUACGGGCAGACUAGAGUGUGGUAGGGGAGACUGGAAUUCCUGGUGUAGCGGUGGAAUGCGCAGAUAUCAGGAGGAACACCGAUGGCGAAGGCAGGUCUCUGGGCCACUACUGACGCUGGAG